AAGGAGAACUGCGACCAAAUAGCAGCGGCAACAGGCCGCCUGUUUCCCCGGGCUGGCAACACUGUCCCGUCUCCCGCAAACACGUGUCCAUCUGUUUCGUUGCUGGGUGUGCUGCCGCACAACGGGAAGCCGCAGUCACCCCAGCAAGGGAGAAGCUUCCAGCUAUCCACGGGGGCUUCUCCCUAAUUCAAAAGCCAUGGUGGACACGAGCCUCGGAGCAGCCCCAGUGCACUGGGAGGACAAGGACACUGAGAAGCGGAGGACAAGGUGUGCGGCUUGACAAUGUAAGGAAAUAAAUACCGAAAUAAGAACAUC